AGAUAUGUUUGAUAUUCUUGGUUGUUUCAUUCAAAAGUUCACCCAGGAAUCAAACAUAUUAUU
rnacentral:pre_miRNA from 2 species